rnacentral:rRNA from 1 species
AACGAACGCUGGCGGCAUGCCUAACACAUGCAAGUCGAACGAGACCUUCGGGUCUAGUGGCGCACGGGUGCGUAACGCGUGGGAACCUGCCCUUAGGUUCGGAAUAACUCCCCGAAAGGGGUGCUAAUACCGGAUAAUGUCUUCGGACCAAAGAUUUAUCGCCUUUGGAUGGGCCCGCGUUGGAUUAGCUAGUUGGUAGGGUAAAAGCCUACCAAGGCGACGAUCCAUAGCUGGUCUGAGAGGAUGAUCAGCCACACUGGGACUGAGACACGGCCCAGACUCCUACGGGGGGCAGCAGGGGGGAAAUUUGGAAAAGGGGCGAAAGCCUGAUCCAGCAAUGCCGGGGGGGUGAUGAAGGCCUUAGGGUUGUAAAGCUCUUUUCCCCGGGAUGAUAAUGACAGUACCGGGAGAAUAAGCCCCGGCUAACCCCGU